UACAUCUCUAAAUUCAAAGAAGCAGGUAUUUGUAUAUGUCACUUUAUUUACUUGGACUGGCUUUGACACUGGGUGUCUUCCACAGCAAAGUUCAGAAGGAGCUCUGCCUUUGCUGCUCCCAUGAAGCCUGUGUCCAUGGAAAUAACACAAUAUGAUUGAUCUCCUUUGCAUAAACUCCAGCAUGGCUGAAUCCAAGGAACAGUGGAGACCCAGGUGCUGAGGAAAAAGGAAGAGACUAAGAAAAGAGAUGGAAGAACUCAUAAACAAGAUUGCUCAUGUUGGAUUCUGGAUGAACAGCAAGAUCCAGUUUUCACUGCUGAUGGAAAUUUUUAAACAGCAAGAAUAUAAAUCUGUGAAGAGGGAAACAUACAAAGCUACAAGAUGGAGAAAAGAGAAAGCAUCUGGGAAUACAAGAACACUUACUACUUUUAGUUACUGGUAUUUAAAAUCUUCAAUUCCCAGAAAUGAUGCUUCCAAACAUUUCAUGCGGCAUGUAUUUCAUCUGCUGGUAAGCACAGAGUUGCCUGGUUGCCCUAUAACAGAGAAAACCUUCUAUUUUGUGAUUUUCAUUGCUACUAGGGCUUCAGGUAUUUUUCACAGAUUGAAGAGAGAGUCUACAGAGCACUAAAUUACUCGUUUUCUUUUUCAUUCAAGGUUCAAAUGCUUGUCUUCAAUGGGUAAUUGUAUGUCAAGAAAAAAUUGAAGGGAAAGGAGGAGGAAUAUAAACUGAAAAUAUUUGCUGUGAAACAUCCAAAAUUAUACCAAGACUUAGUAACCUACUGUCCAUUUUAAAUUAUGAAUGCCAUUAUUUUUCUAAUGCGGUUGAUAAGGUGCUAAAGUAUUGUCUUGUUGUGUCUGCUGGCAACUGUAGGAUAAUAUCACAACACAAAAGCAC
rnacentral:lncRNA from 1 species